AUGCCAAUCACUGUGCUGGUACUGCCAGUUCGAUCCGAGGAGCUAAAUAAGAUAGCAGCCGAGAAGCUCGAAGAGGCAAGGGCUAGCGAUCAGCCAGAACCUUUAUUUAUUCGUCCUUCAGCAUGGCGGUAUUCCAAUGCCUAUGCUCAAAACCGGAAACCCAGCCUAACAGAAGCUGAGCAGGAUGGUAAUGUAUGGCGUGUUUGUUUCUCCAAUCACUCCUCUAGUAAUGAAUUAGAGCAGGCACUGCAACUUCUACAGCCUCAGUGGGUCAUUUCAACCACUCCCCCAAAUUUUGCGAGUGAACUGAGUUAUGUAAGGAGACGCUAUUUAUCGCACACCACACAGGGACAUGCGCAAUCAAGCAUCUGUUUCCGCACAACAUCCAGAGGGAAGGAAGACUAUGAAUAUUUUAUUCGAGGAAUACCGUCCCGAGGGCAGAGAAGCCCUAGAGUUGUGCAGAUAGAAGAAACAUGGGUGGACCAUAGGACAUUUGGACUAUCAAUGGGUGUGAACGGUUAUACUAUAUCAAAACAUGUUAUCAACAUGAUGGGCAAAGCUAUCAUUUCAGAACAGCGUGAUGCACAUUUCUUGAAGCAUGUGUUGCAUUCCGAGCUUGGAAAAAUGCUUCAAGGCCCCUCCCCAUGCCGAGAAAGCAUUUCAAACUACCUAUCUGAGCCCAACCAGGGAUUCAAACUCGAAAACAUGGAUGCAGUUCUUGUACCAUUGCUAAAUUCCAAGACUUGGUACCUACUUGUAGCAAAUUUUUGGAAGAGACGGUUCGAGGUAUUGAGCCCAAUGGGGUGCACUGACGAAUUGAUAACACAAGCACAGUCUAUUGUAUGCAACUUCCGGGAAGAUUUUCAUAGUGCAUAUCCUCAGCUCCAUAGCGUAAAAAUCAAAGACAUGGACAUUACCUUCCAUACCAUAUCAAACUCAGACAACGAAUCCGACAGUGGUAUAUUUAUCAUGAAGGCAUUAGAUUUAUAUGAUGGAGAGAAACAUAUCUUCUUUAACGAUUCUGACGCCGAAGGACUCCGUGAACACUUGGCAUUAUAUUUGUUGCACCACAAGUAUAAUGAGAUGCCCCACAGACAUGUACAAGGUUUAGUGGGUCCCUAA
rnacentral:rRNA from 1 species